rnacentral:rRNA from 1 species
GAUGAACGCUGGCGGCGUGCCUAAUACAUGCAAGUCGAACGCAUAGCGAAAGGUGCUUGCACCUUUCAAGUGAGUGGCGAACGGGUGAGUAACACGUGGACAACCUGCCUCAAGGCUGGGGAUAACAUUUGGAAACAGAUGCUAAUACCGAAUAAAACUUAGUGUCGCAUGACACAAAGUUAAAAGGCGCUUCGGCGUCACCUAGAGAUGGAUCCGCGGUGCAUUAGUUAGUUGGUGGGGUAAAGGCCUACCAAGACAAUGAUGCAUAGCCGAGUUGAGAGGCAGAUCGGCCACAUUGGGACUGAGACACGGCCCAAACUCCUACGGGAGGCUGCAGUAGGGAAUCUUCCACAAUGGGCGAAAGCCUGAUGGAGCAACGCCGCGUGUGUGAUGAAGGCUUUCGGGUCGUAAAGCACUGUUGUAUGGGAAGAACAGCUAGAAUAGGAAAUGAUUUUAGUUUGACGGUACCAUACCAGAAAGGGACGGCUAAAUACGUG